GACGAACGCUGGCGGCGUGCUUAACACAUGCAAGUCGAACGGAAAGGCCCUGCUUUUGUGGGGUGCUCGAGUGGCGAACGGGUGAGUAACACGUGAGUAACCUGCCCUUGACUUUGGGAUAACUUCAGGAAACUGGGGCUAAUACCGGAUAGGAGCUCCUGCUGCAUGGUGGGGGUUGGAAAGUUUCGGCGGUUGGGGAUGGACUCGCGGCUUAUCAGCUUGUUGGUGGGGGAGUGGCUUACCAAGGCUUUGGCGGGUAGCCGGCCUGGGAGGGUGACCGGCCACAUUGGGACUGAGAUACGGCCCAGACUCCUACGGGAGGCAGCAGUGGGGAAUAUUGCACAAUGGGCGGAAGCCUGAUGCAGCAACGCCGCGUGCGGGAUGACGGCCUUCGGGUUGUAAACCGCUUUCGCCUGUGACGAAGCGUGAGUGACGGUAAUGGGUAAAGAAGCACCGGCUAACUACGUG
rnacentral:rRNA from 1 species